rnacentral:rRNA from 1 species
UUUUAUGGAGAGUUUGAUCCUGGCUCAGGAUGAACGCUGGCGGCGUGCCUAAUACAUGCAAGUCGAGCGAACAGACGAGGAGCUUGCUCCUCUGACGUUAGCGGCGGACGGGUGAGUAACACGUGGAUAACCUACCUAUAAGACUGGGAUAACUUCGGGAAACCGGAGCUAAUACCGGAUAAUAUAUUGAACCGCAUGGUUCAAUAGUGAAAGACGGUUUUGCUGUCACUUAUAGAUGGAUCCGCGCCGCAUUAGCUAGUUGGUAAGGUAACGGCUUACCAAGGCAACGAUGCGUAGCCGACCUGAGAGGGUGAUCGGCCACACUGGAACUGAGACACGGUCCAGACUCCUACGGGAGGCAGCAGUAGGGAAUCUUCCGCAAUGGGCGAAAGCCUGACGGAGCAACGCCGCGUGAGUGAUGAAGGUCUUCGGAUCGUAAAACUCUGUUAUUAGGGAAGAACAAAUGUGUAAGUAACUAUGCACGUCUUGACGGUACCUAAUCAGAAAGCCACGGCUAACUACGUGCCAGCAGCCGCGGUAAUACGUAGGUGGCAAGCGUUAUCCGGAAUUAUUGGGCGUAAAGCGCGCGUAGGCGGUUUUUUAAGUCUGAUGUGAAAGCCCACGGCUCAACCGUGGAGGGUCAUUGGAAACUGGAAAACUUGAGUGCAGAAGAGGAAAGUGGAAUUCCAUGUGUAGCGGUGAAAUGCGCAGAGAUAUGGAGGAACACCAGUGGCGAAGGCGACUUUCUGGUCUGUAACUGACGCUGAUGUGCGAAAGCGUGGGGAUCAAACAGGAUUAGAUACCCUGGUAGUCCACGCCGUAAACGAUGAGUGCUAAGUGUUAGGGGGUUUCCGCCCCUUAGUGC